rnacentral:rRNA from 1 species
GAUGAACGCUGGCGGUAUGCUUAACACAUGCAAGUCGAACGGACUCUUCGGAGUUAGUGGCGGACGGGUGAGUAACGCGUGAGAAUCUGGCUUUGGGUUCGGGACAACCACUGGAAACGGUGGCUAAUACCGGAUGUGCCGAGAGGUAAAAGAGAAAUUGCCUGAAGAUGAGCUCGCGUCUGAUUAGCUAGUUGGUGAGGUAAAGGCUCACCAAGGCAGCGAUCAGUAGCUGGUCUGAGAGGAUGACCAGCCACACUGGGACUGAGACACGGCCCAGACUACUACGGGAGGCAGCAGUGGGGAAUUUUCCGCAAUGGGCGAAAGCCUGACGGAGCAAUACCGCGUGAGGGAAGAAGGCUCUUGGGUUGUAAACCUCUUUUCUUAGGGAAGAACAAAAUGACGGUACCUAAGGAAUCAGCAUCGGCUAACUCCGUG